UACGUAGGGUGCAAGCGUUGUCCGGAAUUAUUGGGCGUAAAGAGCUCGUAGGCGGCUUGUCGCGUCGACUGUGAAAUCCCUCGGCUCAACUGAGGAAUGGCACGGGAACUGCGGGGCUUGAGUUCGGGAGAGGGAAGCGGAAUUCCGGGGUGUGAGCGGGUGGAAAUGCGUAGAUAUCCGGAGGAACACCGGUGGCGAAGGCGGCUUCCUGGACCGGAUACUGACGCUGAGGCGCGAAAGCUAGGGGAGCAAACGGG
rnacentral:rRNA from 1 species